UCCGCCAGGGUACUACAAGCGCUAGCUUAAAACCCAAAGGACUUGACGGUGUCUCAGACCCACCUAGAGGAGCCUGUUCUAGAACCGAUAACCCCCGUUCAACCUCACCACCCCUUGCUUUCCCCGCCUAUAUACCGCCGUCGCAAGCUUACCCUGUGAAGGUCCUACAGUAAGCAAAAUGGAUACACUUCGAAACGUCAGGUCGAGGUGUAGCUUACGAGGUGGAAAGAAAUGGGCUACAUUUUCUUUAUCAGAAUAACUCGAAUGGCACCAUGAAACUAGUGCCUGAAGGUGGAUUUAGCAGUAAAA
rnacentral:rRNA from 1 species